CCUACGGGCGGCAGCAGUCGAGAAUCAUUCACAAUGGGGGAAACCCUGAUGGUGCGACGCCGCGUGGGGGAAUGAAGGUCUUCGGAUUGUAAACCCCUGUCAUGUGGGAGCAAAUUAAAAAGAUAGUACCACAAGAGGAAGAGACGGCUAACUCUGUGCCAGCAGCCGCGGUAAUACAGAGGUCUCAAGCGUUGUUCGGAAUCACUGGGCGUAAAGCGUGCGUAGGCUGUUGCGUAAGUCGUGUGUGAAAGGCGCGGGCUCAACCCGCGGACGGCACAUGAUACUGCGAGACUAGAGUAGUGGAGGGGGAACCGGAAUUCUCGGUGUAGCAGUGAAAUGCGUAGAUAUCGAGAGGAACACUCGUGGCGAAGGCGGGUUCCUGGACAUUAACUGACGCUGAGGCACGAAGGCCAGGGGAGCGAAAGGGAUUAGAUACCCCGGUAGUC
rnacentral:rRNA from 1 species